GAAUCCUGUCCACCGAAUGACUAAGGUUUCCUGGGGAAGGCUCGUCCUCCCAGGGUUAGUCGGGACCUAAGCUGAGGCCGAACGGCGUAGGCGAUGGUCAACAGGUUGAUAUUCCUGUACCAGUUUCUUUUGUUUGACUGAUGGAGGGACGCAGCAGGCUAAGAUAUGCCCACUGAUGGAUGUGGGUGCAAAUAAUAAGUCUGGCGAUGAGUCAAAUGCUUAUCGCUAAGGACAAGUUAUGACGCGGAGGGAAGUACAGUACCAAAGUAUCUGACGUCACACUGCCAAGAAAAGCUUCUAGGGAGAAAGCAACUGCCCGUACCGCAAACCGACACAGGUAGUCGAGAUGAGAAUUCUAAGGUGAGCGAGCGAACUCUCGUUAAGGAACUCGGCAAAAUGACC
rnacentral:rRNA from 1 species